GAUGAACGCUAGCGACAGGCCUAACACAUGCAAGUCGAGGGGCAGCACAAGGAGCAAUCUGAGGUGGCGACCGGCGCACGGGUGAGUAACACGUAUGCAACCUACCUGUAAGAGGGAAUAACCCGUUGAAAAACGGACUAAUACCGCAUAACACUGUAGAACCGCAUGGUUUGACAGUUAAACAUUUAUGGCUUACAGAUGGGCAUGCGCAUGAUUAGCUAGUUGGUGAGGUAACGGCUCACCAAGGCAACGAUCAUUAGGGGUUCUGAGAGGAACGGUCCCCCACACUGGUACUGAGACACGGACCAGACUCCUACGGGAGGCAGCAGUGAGGAAUAUUGGUCAAUGGGCGAGAGCCUGAACCAGCCAAGUCGCGUGAAGGAUGUAAGGUUUUAUGAAUUGUAAACUUCUUUUGCAGGGGAAUAAAGUGUCCGACGUGUCGGAUUUUGUAUGUACUCUGCGAAUAAGGAUCGGCUAACUCCGUG
rnacentral:rRNA from 1 species